UAAGCGGAAGGAAAAGAAACUAACAAGGAUUCCCCUAGUAACGGCGAGUGAAGCGGGAAGAGCUCAAAUUUGUAAUCUGGCACUUUCAGUGUCCGAGUUGUAAUCUCGAGAAGUGUUUUCCGCGCUGGACCGCAUACAAGUCUGUUGGAAUACAGCGUCAUAGUGGUGAGAACCCCGUAACUGAUGCGGAUGCCCAGUGCUUUGUGAUACACUUUCGAAGAGUCGAGUUGUUUGGGAAUGCAGCUCAAAUUGGGUGGUAAAUUCCAUCUAAAGCUAAAUAUUGGCGAGAGACCGAUAGCGAACAAGUACCGUGAGGGAAAGAUGAAAAGCACUUUGGAAAGAGAGUUAACAGUACGUGAAAUUGUUGGAAGGGAAACGCUUGAAGUCAGACUUGCUAUGUGGAUUUAUUCACUUCGCAGGCCAGCAUCAGUUUCUGGGGGUGGAAAAGGGUUUGGAGAAGGUAGCAACUCCGGUUGUGUUAUAGCUCCUUGCUGGAUUCAUCUUUGGGGACUGAGGAACGCAGCGCGCUUUUUGCAAGGCUCUCGAGCUUUUCGCGCUUAGGAUGCUGGUGGAAUGGCUUUAAACGACCCGUCUUGAAACACG
rnacentral:rRNA from 1 species